rnacentral:rRNA from 1 species
AUUGAACGCUGGCGGCAUGCUUUACACAUGCAAGUCGAACGGUAACAGGCCGCAAGGUGCUGACGAGUGGCGAACGGGUGAGUAAUGCAUCGGAACGUGCCCGGUCGUGGGGGAUAACGCAGCGAAAGCUGCGCUAAUACCGCAUACGAUCUAUGGAUGAAAGCGGGGGACCGUAAGGCCUCGCGCGAUUGGAGCGGCCGAUGUCAGAUUAGGUAGUUGGUGGGGUAAAGGCUCACCAAGCCAACGAUCUGUAGCUGGUCUGAGAGGACGACAGCCACACUGGGACUGAGACACGGCCCAGACUCCUACGGGAGGCAGCAGUGGGGAAUUUUGGACAAUGGGCGCAAGCCUGAUCCAGCAAUGCCGCGUGCAGGAAGAAGGCCUUCGGGUUGUAAACUGCUUUUGUACGGAACGAAAAGGCUCUGGUUAAUACCUGGGGCUCAUGACGGUACCGUAAGAAUAAGCACCGGCUAACUACGUGCCAGCAGCCGCGGUAACAC